CUUGCUAUUAGUCUUCCUAUUCUGGAAUUGAUAAGAAGGGAUUGAGCCACACUUACUCAGUAAGAAUAAUUUAAGACUCUAAUCCAAAGAUCAUAGAUAAUAUACUAAUUCGAACCAUUACAUUUACAUGAAGCUUACCACGCCCUUCAUAACCAUCUGAUUUUCACAUCCUACUACAAUUACAUCAAUUUUACUAAUCACAUGUUUCUCACUUUUAUAUACUUCAUUUCAUUCAAAGGAUAUCUAUAAUUUACAUAACAACAUUCUCAUAAAUUACUUUUGGUUUAAUCAUAAUUUUAUAAACGCAAUAUCAUAUUCAUAUUAAUUACGCAUAUUUACACAUAAAAUGUCCUUUCUUAAAUUCUUAUCUACACAUAGAAUACCAUUCCUUAAACACAUCACACAUAAUACCUUUUUUUGAACACAUAUUCAUGCAUAUAGUAUCUCUCCUUAAACACAUAGAAUACCCUAUCUCAUAUACAUGUUCACCUAACAAUAUAUUCUCAUUAUUCACUAACACAACUGGUCACAUAUGCACAUAGACUUAUAAUCGUAAUCACAUAAUAUCAUUCAGUCACAAUCACAGAAAGAGAUGAUAAUUCACACCACCAAUAUGGACCAAAACAUAGCUUCCACAAGUAAUAGUUACAGCCACAGUUACGAUUCACAUCAUCCCCCAGGGACACAGUCAUAAUUAGAGUCACAGUUACAAUUCACAUCGUCCCCCAAGGACACGGUCAUAGUUACAAUCAACAAACAGUUCAUGAGAUAGAGUUCAUAAUCAUUCCAUACUAAUCCUGAACUGCACAUAUAUUUACAUUUCAAUGAUAAAGAAAAUCUUUACUGUGAAUCCCAAGUAUUUUCUAUCAUAAUUUUCUUCAUAUAAUACCUUGACAUUUCUACUUAAUUCAUCCUUAUUCUAUUGUUGGGGCGAGUCUUAAUUUCGUAAUUUUUCAUGCGUAAAUUAUCCCCAAGUUCUAGAACUCAACCCGCUUCUAAAAUGUCUUAAUUUAUCUAAGAUAUUAAAAGAUGGAUCACAAUAUUUAAACUCCAAUUUAUUCACGUCAUAAAUGAUUUAAAUUGCCCACUGAUUCAUAAUCACCGAAAAAUUUCUAUAUUUUUCUCAUUAUACACAUUGUUACCAAAAUUCGAUCAAUCGCAACACCACUAUAAUUUUGUAAAUGGCUUAUUCACUCUAUUAAUUAUUAAAUCAAUUCACAUAUCUAAUAUUUAUUUAAUGUAUUAUAUUCAUUAAUAAUGUUUCAUUUUAUAUAAUUUACCUUUUCAAAGUCAUAAUGAAUUUCCUCAACCAAUAUUCUAGAUCUCAAGCCCAUCAUAAUCAUUCUUGUUUUCUGACCCGUUACUAUUCACUACUUGGAAUGUAGUUGACCCUGCUUAUUUGGUUGUAAACUAGGAGCCCAUACAAUCUUUAUUUCAAAUUUACUUUUUUUUUGCUUCUGGGCUAGAAGCCCAAUGAAACAACCCAUUUGUUAAUUUCUCAAAACUAUUACUUAUUUGCUAUCUCCAUUUGUUUUAAAUUAAUAUAACCCCUCAACUAAAUUUUAUCUUUCUCUCUUAACCCAUUUAUAAGGGUUGGGUUCACUGAAAUUUUAGUUGCUCUUAUUCCCUUCCAAUAGGCUAGGCCCACUAGAUUUAAUUUCCUUCCUCUUUUUUUGCUUAAUUUCUUCAAGCUUGGCCGAAUUCAUGGGCAUGAAUUGGUUAGCUGUCUAUCAUGCCACUCUGGAUUGCUUUCAUAAGACAGUUGAUUUCUAUCCUCCUAAUAAUGAACCUUACUCCCUGUAAAUAAUCUUUUGUAAUCAAUGAAAGUAAUAAUAUAUUUUGGUGCAUUCUGU
rnacentral:lncRNA from 1 species